rnacentral:rRNA from 1 species
UACAGAGGGUGCGAGCGUUGUCCGGAAUUACUGGGCGUAAAGGGCGCGCAGGCGGUCCUUCAAGUCAGGCGUGAAAGCCCCGGGCUCAACCUGGGAAUCGCGCUUGAGACUGAGGGACUUGAGUUCGGGAGAGGUGAGUGGAAUUCCUAGUGUAGAGGUGAAAUUCGUAGAUAUUAGGAAGAACACCAGUGGCGAAGGCGGCUCACUGGCCCGGUACUGACGCUGAGGCGCGAAAGCGUGGGGAGCAAACAGG